UGAGGAAUAUUGGUCAAUGGUCGAGAGACUGAACCAGCCAUGCCGCGUGCAGGAAGAAGGCCUUAUGGGUUGUAAACUGCUUUUGUACGGGAGAAAAAAGACAGUCGCGCAUUGUCAUUGAUAGUACCGUAAGAAUAAGGAUCGGCUAACUCCGUGCCAGCAGCCGCGGUAAUACGGAGGAUCCAAGCGUUAUCCGGAUUUAUUGGGUUUAAAGGGUGCGUAGGCGGAUUAUUAAGUCAGUGUUGAAAGACUAAAGCUCAACUUUAGAAGUGGCAUUGAUACUGGUAGUCUUGAGUACAGAUGAAGUGGGCGGAAUGUGUCAUGUAGCGGUGAAAUGCAUAGAUAUGACACAGAACACCGAUUGCGAAGGCAGCUCACUAAGUUGUAACUGACGCUGAGGCACGAAAGCGUGGGGAUCAAACA
rnacentral:rRNA from 1 species